rnacentral:rRNA from 1 species
UACAGAGGGUGCAAGCGUUAAUCGGAAUUACUGGGCGUAAAGCGUGCGUAGACGGUUAUGUAAGUCGGGUGUGAAAGCCCCGGGCUCAACCUGGGAAUGCCAUUCGAGACUGCAUAGCUAGGGUGCGGAAGAGGGAAGCGGAAUUUCCGGUGUAGCGGUGAAAUGCGUAGAUAUCGGAAGGAACACCAGUGGCGCAGGCGGGUCUCUGGGCAUCUCCUGACGCUGAGGCGCGAAAGCGUGGGGAGCAAACGGG